rnacentral:misc_RNA from 1 species
AAUGGAAAAACACUCCUGUUAAGGCAGUAACUGCAGAAGAUAUCUCUUCUGGAAAUUAUACUAUUGAUGAUGUGAUCCUUCCUAUGCCUGGCUCUAGGGUGUCUUAUCCAACAAAUGACAUUGCCAAAGUUUAUCAUGAUUUGUCAAAGAAGGAUGCUAUCAAUUUGGCUGAGAGUGUGCAUAGUGUCAAGGAAUUUUCAAUAACUAGCAUGACUGGAAGUUAUAGGCGCGUUUUUCAGAAGCCAAUGGACUUUGAAUGGGAAUUACUCUCAUAUACUGAUGGUAAUAUACCAUUGGCAGAGACAGAUUUUGACAGAAUUGCCAAGGUUAAAUCUAAGAGCUUAUUCAAAGAAGAAGAACAAGCCCCAAUGGAGAUGAGAAUAAAAACCCAUCUGAUUGCAUGGGACCACCAGCGAGCUUUCAAAAUAAUAUACAUGUAUCAACAGAUUAUAAUGAGACUGAGGGUGAGCGAGAAGUAGGGCGAGCAGAAGUUGAGUCUCUAUGCAACUCUAAUUCACAGGAAGCCCAAAUGGCUCUCAAGUUAAGCUUCACUCUUCCAGCUUCAUCUUAUGCAACAAUGGCCAUUAGAGAGCUGCUGAAGACAUCAACAUCUGUUGCAUUCCACAAAACAUUAAACCAGUAAGAUCAUAGACAUUUGUGGUGUCCAAACUGACAUUAUGCUUUUUCGGAGAUCAAAGGUUAGUUUUAGUGGAUGAUUAAAGUUCAAGUUUGUUGCUUGUGACACUUCUGGGA